rnacentral:rRNA from 1 species
AUUGAACGCUGGCGGCAGGCCUAACACAUGCAAGUCGAGCGGAUGAAGGGAGCUUGCUCCUGGAUUCAGCGGCGGACGGGUGAGUAAUGCCUAGGAAUCUGCCUGGUAGUGGGGGAUAACGUCCGGAAACGGGCGCUAAUACCGCAUACGUCCUGAGGGAGAAAGUGGGGGAUCUUCGGACCUCACGCUAUCAGAUGAGCCUAGGUCGGAUUAGCUAGUUGGUGGGGUAAAGGCCUACCAAGGCGACGAUCCGUAACUGGUCUGAGAGGAUGAUCAGUCACAUUGGAACUGAGACACGGUCCGUACUCCUACGGUGGGCCGCAGUGGGGAAUAUUGGACAAUGUGCGAAAGCCUAAUCCAGCCAUGCCGCGUGUGUGAAGAAGGUCUUCGGAUUGUAAAGCACUUUAAGUUGGGAGGAAGGGCAGUAAGUUAAUACCUUGCUGUUUUGACGUUACCAACAUAAUAAGCACCGGCUAACUUCGUG